rnacentral:tRNA from 1 species
GGGCCGGUAGCUCAGCUUGGUUGGAGCACACGGCUGAUAAUUCCUCAGCCGGAGGCAGAAACCGUGCGGUCGAGAGUUCAAAUCUCUCCCGGCCCA